GGCUUGGUAGCGGGGUGGCCCCGCAUCUGCUUACCGUGAAUAUGUAGAGCAAGGAGAAAUCACAGCAGAAGGAUACCUGUUCGAUUCGGGUCCAAGUCG